GGAAGGGAGUGGCAGUUAAUAAUUGCUGAAAGGUAAAUCUGGGUCUGCUGGUAUCUGCGCCGGAGUCAAGUCUCCUGAAGAAGGGAUGACGUUGUGAGUAACAGCAUGAUAUUGCGUAUCUGUGCGAGGCCACGUUUUUAAUCCUUACACUUCCAAACAACACAU